rnacentral:rRNA from 1 species
UACAGAGGGGGCAAGCGUUGUCCGGACUUACUGGGCGUAAAGGGUGCGCAGGCGGUCUGAUGCGUCGUCGCUGAAAGCUCUCGGCUUAACUGAGAGAGGCGUGGCGAUACGAUCAGACUCGAGUCUCUGAGAGGGUGGCGGAACUCCUGGUGUAGUGGUGAAAUGCGUAGAGAUCAGGAAGAACACCAGUGGCGAAGGCGCUCUGCUAGGCCGUAACUGACACUGAGGGACGAAAGCUAGGGGAGCGAAUGGG